rnacentral:lncRNA from 1 species
GAUGGCGGAAUCAUCCAAACUUUUCUUGGAAGCAGCAAGCUUCGAAUACUGCCCAACCCUACUCCCACAAUUUUCAAAACCCUCAAAAUUUUCAAACCCCACAAAAUAUUCAUCCCUACCGUCCUUCAACUCAAUUUCAACACACUCCUUCUCCACCCCAUAGAAACACAGCCUUUGAGGAGAAAGUGUUGACCGCCCUUUAAGGUUUGGAA